rnacentral:misc_RNA from 1 species
UACGUAGGGUGCAAGCAUUGUCCGGAUUUAUUGGGCGUAAAGAGUUCUGUAGGCGGUUUUGUAAGUCAUGGGUAAAAUCCUUCGGCCUAACCGAAGAUGUGCUCAUGAUACUGCAUGACUAGAGGAAAUUAGGGGAUAGCGGAACGUAUGGAGGAGCGGUGAAAUGCAUUGAUCUCAUACGGAACACCUAGGGCGUAGGCAGCUAUCUGGGAUUUUCCUGACGCUGAGAGACGAAAGCGUGGGUAGCGAAACGG